AAUGAACCGUUUGCAUUUUCCUAUUUCAUGACACUUAUGAAAAAUUUAGUAAAUAAAUACUUGUGAACAUAGUAAGGUAAGGCAAAAUUUAAGAUAAAGCCCCUAUCCGUUGUUCACAACUUUUGAACAUGGCUCACGCUGCAAACAAGUGAAAAAAUUCACUGAGGAACUUCAACAAGGUGUUACAUGGGUAAUUGAAUCACGACCUCAAUCCAAAAACCCAGUGGUAAGUAGUUCUGUGCUCAACCGUCUGCAAUAACUUUAGAAGGGUCGAUCUAUUCAGAGCAAAACUAUUUAUAGUUAAUACUUUUGAUAGAAGCACUUUGUUAGUAUUGUGCAAUACGUUUAUAAAAAAUGGCUUGAAAUUCCAUUUAUCAACCAUUUGUAAAGUGCUACUAUCAAUUCCAAAUCCUGCAUUCUAACCCCCGUGUAACAAUACUGAACGCACACAGCCCCCGGCAUCCUGUCGGUUUGGAUGGGCUUAAGAGCAAGGACAGUCCAGCAUACAAACAACCAACAUCACAAACCUACCAGUAAACAAAUACAUGUAUGUAACUGUAACCCCAGGAUGUUUUAUCUGUACCCUUUCAAAAACAACCAGAGACACCCCUUGGUCUUUCCAAAGGUCCGUACUGCAAUAUCCUAAACACCGUUACACAAUGGAGAAAACUGGAAUUGCAGUGUAGUAUGAGUUGAGUACAGAGUCACUGUAAUGGAGCAUGCUUUUGUUUCGUAACAGUCUAGAUCAAAGGGGCGGGUUCUGUCCCUCAGUAUCCAUCUCACUGUUACUGGGUGGAGGAUGAAUAGGCAGAAUAUCCAGCUCAUCUACUUGGGGGGUAGGAUGCAUUACCACAAGCUGGUCCUGGGGUAUAUCUGCUGCCGCUGCUGCUAGGUUUGUAAUAGAUUUGCUUUUCACACACUGAAAGUCAACGUGCCGGCUCUUUCCUUCCUCCUUCUCCCAUGACAUCCGGAUAAACGGCCUCUGCACGUAGUUGUAAAUGACCUCUGGCCUUCCACCUGGUCGCUUUUUCACUUUCUCUUUGUAUGUAGGGUAACCUUCAAUGCCCAAUCGGAUCUUCUUGAGCCCUCUUUCCUUCAAAACAGACUUGGCCACAUCUCUAUUUUCAAUGUAUUUGAAGAAUCUAUACAACUUCGUGCUGUAAAUAAUUUGGGAAUACUCCUCUCCCAUCUGAGGAGGGUACUCUUCAUCCCAGUCAACAACAUCAUCAUCUGUCAGCACAACGAUGUGGCACUCCCG
rnacentral:lncRNA from 1 species